ACGGAGGGUGCAAGCGUUAUCCGGAUUCACUGGGUUUAAAGGGAGCGUAGGUGGGCUGGUAAGUCAGUGGUGAAAUCUCCGGGCUUAACUCGGAAACUGCCGUUGAUACUAUCAGUCUUGAAUAUUGUGGAGGUAAGCGGAAUAUGUCAUGUAGCGGUGAAAUGCUUAGAUAUGACACAGAACACCAAUUGCGAAGGCAGCUUGCUACACAGUUAUUGACGCUGAGGCACGAAAGCGUGGGGAUCAAACAGGA
rnacentral:rRNA from 1 species